AUAUACAUUAGGGGUAACACUUUGCUACUUUAUGUAUAUUUAACAUUGUAAUGUAAUAUUAAAGAAAAAUAAAUUAUUGUUGGGGCAUUUUGCUAGAAGUUCCCCAGAUUUCUCCGGCGCCAGCGGAACCGGCAAAAUGCUGAGAAGACAACCCACCAAGAUCGAUGUCAAAAUCGAGGAUAAGGAAGAACUCGAACAACUCCGAAAACGCGCCGCCCUCGCCUCCGCCACCGCCUCCACUGACACAACCUCCACCAAUUCCUCUCUCCUCCAUAACCUCAAUCGCAACAAAGACCCGGCCUCCAAAGCUCAGCGACUCGGUAUUUCCUCUUGAAAUCAUCCAUUCCAUAUACUUCUCAAAUCUCCGAUUAGUUGGUCCAGUGAACGGGAACGAUAGAGGAUUUUCCGAUUCUAUAACGACGGUUCCCACUGUGUGAUCUCUAUGAUGUUCUGAGCGCUUCUAAUCGAUGGCGUUUGUGGAAGAUUCGAUCGGAGAAGCAGCCAUUCUGAAGAGAGGAGCUUGGCUCAACUGGGGAGAGACGAAGGGAAAAAAACAGUUGGGCAGCUCGACUCAAUCAGGAGAAACCAGAACAGCCCGGUUUGGCAGAUCAACUUGACGGCUCAGUUCUAUUAGGCUCGACGUGGCGUGGCUCAGCGAGUUAGCUCGAUGAGUUAGCUCGGCGACUUCGGCGUGGUCGACUUGACGUCAAUGACUUGAUAGCUCGGGUUGAAACGAACAGAUCCAUUCGAAUCCACGAAUUGACAGCAUAGUUGAGGCAGACGAACCCACGAAUCGACAGAUGGAAACGACGGACGACGCACAACCCCGACAACAGAGGCGAACGAUAUGGCAGUGGACAGAAGCAUGACUGUUGAUGCGGCAGUGGACAAAAGCGCAAAGAAAGACGGACACCGACGGAAGUGCAAUGAAAUUGAAAUGGCGACUGCAGACGAAAAACGUACGACUCUGGUGGCAGAGACGAGCAUAACUGGCAGAGACAGAUGACGCAAGUGGCACGAAUGGCGACUGUGGAUGGAAAACGGAAAACAUGAUGACUGAACGAUGCACGGACCACGAGGCUAUUGAUGAUAUGAUGACAGAGGCUAAGCCUAAUUCUUGGCUCUGAUACCAAGUUAGAAAUAUUAAUGUAGUUCACUGAGUUGUAUUUUACAGAGAAAUUGAAGAUAUAUAUACAAGAUAAAGAAACUAAAAAUAGAUCUAAAAUAGCUCAACCAUGACCUAAAGACUCUACUAAGUAUACAUUAACCCAUGUUAUACAUUUUGGUUGGUGAUUUCCUUCCACUUUCUCCGUUAUGUGUUAUUGUGCAAGUGUAACAUUCAUUUGUAUUCCAUUGAUCUCAAAUACUCAUUUGUAAUCUUAAGUUUAUUGACUAAACUCUAUUUGUACUAAUUUAUAAGAUAAAAUGGCUACGGACAUUUUGUUCA